rnacentral:rRNA from 1 species
CAGGAAGUUUUGAAUUCUGGCUCAGGACGAACGCUGGCGGCGUGCCUAAUACAUGCAAGUCGAACGCUUCUUUUUCCACCGGAGCUUGCUCCACCGGAAAAAGAAGAGUGGCGAACGGGUGAGUAACACGUGGGUAACCUGCCCAUCAGAAGGGGAUAACACUUGGAAACAGGUGCUAAUACCGUAUAACAAUCAAAACCGCAUGGUUUUGAUUUGAAAGGCGCUUUCGGGUGUCGCUGAUGGAUGGACCCGCGGUGCAUUAGCUAGUUGGUGAGGUAACGGCUCACCAAGGCCACGAUGCAUAGCCGACCUGAGAGGGUGAUCGGCCACAUUGGGACUGAGACACGGCCCAAACUCCUACGGGAGGCAGCAGUAGGGAAUCUUCGGCAAUGGACGAAAGUCUGACCGAGCAACGCCGCGUGAGUGAAGAAGGUUUUCGGAUCGUAAAACUCUGUUGUUAGAGAAGAACAAGGAUGAGAGUAACUGUUCAUCCCUUGACGGUAUCUAACCAGAAAGCCACGGCUAACUACGUGCCAGCAGCCGCGGUAAUACGUAGGUGGCAAGCGUUGUCCGGAUUUAUUGGGCGUAAAGCGAGCGCAGGCGGUUUCUUAAGUCUGAUGUGAAAGCCCCCGGCUCAACCGGGGAGGGUCAUUGGAAACUGGGAGACUUGAGUGCAGAAGAGGAGAGUGGAAUUCCAUGUGUAGCGGUGAAAUGCGUAGAUAUAUGGAGGAACACCAGUGGCGAAGGCGGCUCUCUGGUCUGUAACUGACGCUGAGGCUCGAAAGCGUGGGGAGCAAACAGGAUUAGAUACCCUGGUAGUCCACGCCGUAAACGAUGAGUGCUAAGUGUUGGAGGGUUUCCGCCCUUCAGUGCUGCAGCUAACCGCAUUAAGCCCCCCCCGGCCCCG